CAAAUAAAGUAAAGGAAUACUGAGACAGAAAGGGGAACAAAGAGAAAUGGGAUUAUGGGCAUGUUUAGCAGUGAUAUCACCAUUUCCAUUUUACUACUAUCUCUGGACACAUCCUCAAAAAUGGGUCGAUCUCUGUGGAAGUGGACGUGACCCUUGCAAAGUUAUGGCUAUCGUCUCUCAUUUUAUAAAGUUGAUCCAAUUCAUCUCACUCUUAUCGGUUUCCACAUUUUCAUGGCCUCCUCCGCUUUAUUUUUGGCCCCUUUUCAUCUUUGGUCAGUUCCUUAAUUUCAGGGUGUAUCAACUGUUGGGAGAAGCUGGCACUUACUAUGGUGUCCGCUUUGGGAAGAAUAUCCCUUGGGAAACAGAGUUUCCUUUUGGAGUAAUAAGAGAUCCUCAGUAUGUCGGCAGCAUUUUGAGUUUGCUAGCUUGCCUCUCUUGGGUUCCUUUCUUGUAUAUUUUCUUAUGGGUAUUGGGAUAUGCAUUUAUAAUACAAGUUGAAUCCAAGGAAGAUCCAGCUACUCGUGCAAAGCCGCUUUCUUGAAUCUAUAGAAGAUACAUCUGCCAACUUCAAGGAACUAGUACUGCUUGCUUCUGCAUUCCGGAGAAGGAAUCCUUUUGAUAAAGUUCUUGUAUCAAUGGUUUCUUGAGUUCUCGAUUCCUUUUUUUAAAAUCAGACUCAGCAAUAUUUUGGACGAUUCUAUAAUCAACAAGGUUGGGUCCUUAGACAAAUACAUGUUAAGACAUUGAAGCAAUAAGUAGAAGACUUUUAGUUGGAGUGUUGGACCAACUAAGCUGUACUCUUUUAUGCUAGUGGAUGGAAUCACAAAAGACCAUCUCAUCAGUUGCUUUCAGAUAAUGAUUGUUCUUACCUUAGUUGCUCGGACUCUCCAAAAAUGUUGCCGCACCUUUUGAAGGAUCCAACACAGGCCUGAUGACAUUUUUGAAGAGUCCGAGCAACAUAGGUUUUUACUAUAGCAGAUUACUUUAUAAUUGUUUUAAUUCUUGCAUGUAGCUUAAAUUUGAUGCCACAAAAGAGUUGCAUAAAGUCAGUGAACAGAACAAUAAGUUGUAUAUUUCAUUAUCUCAUUUCAGUAUUCUACAAAGUUGUCAAAUUCAACAACUUAAAUGUUUCAAAGACAAUUCAGUCUCAAUCUAGCCAACUCAGAGCAAGUCCAUUCUGCAGGGGACCCAAUAUGGCUGCUGUUGAAAAUUUCUCACAGUCCAGCAAGAUCCCAUUCUCACGUGCACUUCCAAGUCCAACUUUGCGGUCCAAAUGUUACUAACUUUUCCUGUAUUUACAUUUGAACAAUAAUUUGUGUUUCCUUUUUCCUCCUAAGAACUUUUCAUACGAGUCAAGUUGGAAAAUAUUGAACAAUUGUCUAUACAAAGUAGUUGACUGCUCUGCUGGACUUUUGUUUA